GACAAUUAAUGAUUUUCUUGCUUAUGGCAUGCUGUCGGGAUGGAGUACAACAUGUAAAUUAGCUUGCCCAAUUUGUAUGGAUGAAACAAAAACUUUCAGUUUGAAAAAUGGAAGAAAAGUUUCUUGGUUUGAUUGUAACCGGCAAUUCUUGCCUCUCAAUCAUGAAUUUAGAAGAAACAAGAAUGCUUUUUAUAAAGGAAGAGAGGAAAAGUCUAGACCUCCUCCCAGGUUAACUGGAGAACAAGUGUGGGAAAAAAUUAAAGGAUUUCCUAAGAUUACUGAAUUUGGUCCGCGCAACUUUUACGGUUAUGGAAAAUCACAUAAUUGGACCAAAAGAAGUAUUUUUUGGGAUCUGCCAUAUUGGAAGACCAAUCUAGUUCGCCACAAUCUUGAUGUAAUGCAUAUAGAAAAGAAUGUCUUUGACAAUAUUUUCCAUACAGUCAUGGAUAACAGUGAGAGAACAAAGGAUAAUGAGAAGGCAAGAAUGGACUUGAAAGAAUAUUGUCGUCGAAGUGAUUUACACUUGCAACAGAAUGUUGAUGGGAGAUGGAUUAAACCGAAAGCAAAGUUUACCUUAAAUGACGACCAAAAUAAAGAUGUAUGUGAAUGGGUUCAUGAGCUAAAAAUGCUGAUGGAUAUGCUUCUAAUUUGGGUAAAUGUGUUGAUAAGAAACAUUUAAAGUUAUUUGAAAUGAAAAGUCAUGACUGCCACAUUUUUAUGCAAUGUCUUAUUCCAGUAGCUUUUGGUGCACUUCCAAAACCAAUCUGGAAGCCACUAACUGAACUCAAUUUAUUCUUUAAAGACUUGUGCUCAACAGUAUUGCGGGAGGAUCAUUUAAGGCAAAUGGAAGAAAACAUUCCAUUAAUCUUGUGUAAAUUGCAACGAAUAUUUCCACCCGGUCUUUUUUAUUCAAUGGAGCACUUAAUGAUUCAUUUGCCUUAUGAAGCAAGGGUUUGUGGUCCUGUUCAAUACCGAUGGAUGUAUCCAUUUGAAAGGUUCCUAAACAAAAUAAAGAAGACUAUAAAAUACAAAUCUAGAGUUGAAUGAUCUAUUUGCCAAGCAUACUUGGCUCAAGAAAUCUCAUACUUUGCUUCCCAUUAUUUUGAAUCUCAUGUCCUAUCUAGCAAUAAUAGAGUUGAUCGCAAUGAUGAUUUAAUCACAAAAAAUGCUACUCAACCAACUCUAUCAGUCUUUAAUCUUUCUGGACGAAGUUAUGGAAAGAAAAAGGGCAAUAUUUAGUGGCUAGAUGAUAAAGAAGUUGCAGCAGCACAAUUGCAUGUUCUUAUUAAUUGUGAUGAGGUUAAGCCUUUUCUCAAUUUGUAUGAAAAAGCCUUGAGAUAUACUUACAAUGAUCUUACCGAUGAUAUCAUUGAUAAGCAAAUUGAAGCUGACUUUCCACGAUGGUUCAAGGAAUAUGUGAAUAGUAAUCCAUAAGAGAUCUGACAAGAUUCUUAUUUGCGAAUUUUAGCAAUGAGACCAUUGAGACAGGCACGGUCUUGGCCUGGUUAUUUCAUGAAUGGAUACAAAUUUCACACUGCUUCUUGGGGUGAAGGAAAAAGUACAUAUAACAGUGGGGUGUGUGUCAGUGGCACUGGACAAGAUGGUAGCAUAAGUGAAUACUAUGGUGUUCUUAAGGAAAUUAUCGAAUUAGAAUGGCCAAUGGCACCAUUUAUGAAGUUAGUUUUAUUUUACUGUGAUUGGUUUGAUACCUCUAAACACGGCAUGAAAGUUGAUAUCCAUUUUGGUAUUGUUGAAGUUCGAAAAAGGGGAAGAUAUUCUAAAUUUGACCCUUUCAUCUUUCCCCAAACAACAACUCAAGUUUAUUAUGCAAGUCAUCCUGAAAACAAAGGAGAUACAGCUGAUUGGUGGGUAGUUAUAAAGACAAAGCCAAGAGGAGUUGUGGACAAAAGAUAUAAUAUGGAAGUUUAUUACCAAGAGGAGCAAUCACAUGUUAGUGCAAGUAUAGAGGAUAAUCUAAUUGAUUGCUUAUGAGAUGACCAAGUUGUAGGUGAAGAGAUACAUGGAAGUAAUUUUCAACCAGUUGUCAGUGAAAAUGAAGCUGAAGAUGAGGAGACAACAAGUGAAGAAGAGGAAGAUGAGGAAGGGGAAACAAGUGAAGAGGAAGAAUUUUUUGAUAGUGAUGAUUCACAAGAUCACUUUCAAACCCAAGAACAGGAUACAUAGGAUGAUUGAGAAUAUUAGUUUGUCUAUUUGUUUGUUUACU